AUGGAUGACACAAUGUAUCGCCAGCUAGAUAGAGAUCCCGGGUCUUCGAGAACCGUGUUCAUGGGACAUCGAAGGUGGCUUCGCGACGAUGACCCGUGGAGGAAACGCACGGAUCUGUUCGAUGGUGAAACCGAAGCCCGAAAACGCCUGUGUACGAGGAGCGGCGAGGAAAUAGACGAGCUAUUGAAAAAUUGGAAAGACUGCCCACUACCGGGAAAGAAGCAAAAGGCGCCAGAGCCGGGAAAGAAGCGAAAGGCGCCAGAGCCGCUGCUGAAGGUAUGGAAAACGAGGUCUGUUUUCUGGGACUUGCCGUACUGGAAGAUCCACCGUGUGCCGCACAGCCUUGAGGUCAUGCAUAUCACGAAGAACGUGUGCGAGAGUCUGCUUGGUACCCUGCUCAACAUGCCAGAGAGGACCAAAGAUGGGCCAAAAGCAAGGGCAGACUUGAAAUCAAUGGGCAUCAGGCAGGAGCUUCACGCUAAUGAUGAUGAUGAUGAGGCGAAGCAGGACACAGAAAGUCGUCGCAAAGGCAAAAAGGCCAAGAAGACCAGAAAUGACUACCCUCCCACGUGCUUCACUCUAAGUUAG
rnacentral:rRNA from 1 species